UACGGGGGGGGCAAGCGUUGUUCGGAAUUACUGGGCGUAAAGGGCGCGUAGGCGGCCUGCUAAGUCGGACGUGAAAUCCCUCGGCUCAACCGGGGAACUGCGUCCGAUACUGGCGAGGCUUGAAUCCGGGAGAGGGAUGUGGAAUUCCAGGUGUAGCGGUGAAAUGCGUAGGGAUCGGGAGGAAUACCUGUGGCGAAGGCGGCCUACUGGGCCGGACCUGACGCUGAGACGCGAAGGCGUGGGGAGCGAACGGG
rnacentral:rRNA from 1 species